rnacentral:lncRNA from 1 species
UAUUUCUAUUGAAACUAUGCUGUGACUUGGCACACACUGAAAAUCCGAGAGAGUAGGGAUUGUUUUUCACCGCUCCCUUUCUUCUCCUGGCACCGCCGAAGGCAGCCCCUAUUGAGGGUUGCUAGGGCCCGGGGUCCUAGGUUUCUAUGACUACGCAAGGCUUUCCGGGAAAAGGCUAGGCCUCCGGCGCCCGGCGGGAAACACAAUUUACUGGUACCGGUAGUAAGUGUCCAUUUCCCAUCGGUUUAAAUGAAGAAAUGAUGAAAGCCCUAGCGCUGCCAGAACCCUGAGUCUGUGAGGGCAGUGCUUGUGGGAGAGGUUGGGGUCCCUAACUGACUGUCUAGAGCGCGCCACCGAGCUGCCAGCGGCCAGUGUGUAGGGUCAGCGGGUAAGGUGUGCGGGUGUGUCCUUCCCGGCCUCUGCCCGGACCCUGACGCCCAUGCAAGCUUCUGAGUCAGGACAGAUGGCGUGAGAGAUCACAGAGGACUCCGAAAAAGGGACAGUGUAGUAACCUGAAAGAGCCAGUAGCAGACUGAUUUAUUUCUGAGUUAUCUUUCUGGAGGAAUAUGUCACAUUACAAAAAAGAGUGAUAGGAAGCAUUAUUGUGUCUCUCCCGAAAACGCCAACCUCACCGUUAAAGUCCCCACCAUCUUAUGACCCUAGGAAGUCAAAAGUAUCUGCCUUCAAGGAGACAAGAGGAUAUUUCUUUUCUGUAUGAUGUUAAAUAUGUAAAAGAAGAGACUAGAGAGAAUACAUUUUGUCCCCCACAUUCGGACCAUGCAUUACAAUCCAAAGAUGAUCACGAGAAACAUGAUGGUGUCCUCGUGCCUCACAAGGUAAAACAUUUGAUAAACUUCUCUCCCUCUCUCUACUCUUUAAAUAAGUUCCCCCAAAAUAUAUUGCUUACUGUCUUAUUUCCUUAAAAAGCUAUUUAGUGGGUAAAGAUCAAAAAUAUCUUAAGCUGUUUUCCAAACCAGAGUUGCCACUUUAGAAAAUACAAUGGGAAGACUAGAUUUCUCCUUCCAGAAAUCCACAUACAAAGUUGUAGAUUUCUUAUUCAUGGUAUGAUGCUAAGCUGAAUUUUAGUUUUCCUACUGUUAAAAAAAAUGAAUUUAUUUUUGUUUUGUUUUGGUUUUUGUGAUAAGAUCUUGCUAUGUAGUUCAGGUUGGCCUUGAACUCACUAUAUAGCCCAGGCUGACCUUGAACUCAAAGUGAUCCUGCUGCCUCAGCCUCUCCUGCGUGCUGGGAUUAUAGGCAUGUGGCACCAUGCUUGCCCUAAUGAUGAAUUUCUGAAUACACUGAGAUCUGUAUAUCUGAGAGGUCCUCAUCUGCAUAUCCAACCACCCACAAAUGUGAAAUAUUUUUCAAAAAUUGCAUCUGUUGUGAACCUGUAUAGAGAUUUUCUUAUCAUUAUUUCCUCAAUAAUUCAGUAUCA